rnacentral:lncRNA from 1 species
GUAAUCACCAUAACUGACUGCAUGUACAAACAGAGCCUACAGUACUCUGGCCCAGAGUCCUGUAAUGCUGAUGAAUACAUAUAUGCUCAUCGUUGCUGCAAGAUGUGCCCUACGGGUCAGUAUGUAGAGAAGCUCUGCAUGAGACCCCACACCCAGGGAGUGUGUGUAAAGUGUGAGCUGGGGACAUUCACAGCAUAUGCCAACGGCCUGGAGUCUUGCCUCGUCUGCUCCACCUGCCGGGCUGGAAACGCUAAUGGAUGUGAGAAGAUGGUGAGGCAGUCAGUGGCAAAGAGUUCUGUCACUGAGGCAGGUGAUGAGCUCAGCAGUGCCCCAGCAAGCACUUCUCACACAUCACCUGGUAAAGAGGGAAGCGGUAUGUUACCUCAGAGUUUUGAGGGUUCCAGCCCAGGUGAUCCAUCUCCAUACGGGGUGACGCCGGACACAACACCAGGAGCAUGUGGCCCAGCAUGUCCAGGAAGAAGAAGAGAAGAUGAGAGGACUGAGUCCCAGGAUCACCUUCUAGAAUGCACCCCUAGUGAUUGAAGGCCUCUCAGCAGGCCCCACCUCUCAGAGCUUCCAGUAUCUCCUGGAGUGCCAGGGAAAGCAUCAAGAGUUUAACUCAAGCACCAUGGAUGCCAACCAUAACAUCUGCCCUCGUGGGUACCCUGGAUAAGACAUAAAGGACAACGUGGGGUGGGAGUCCUGGCUUAUGACUGGUCCCCUCCUUGCUGUCUUAGCCUGCCCUGCUUUGUCACAGAGUUUAAUGCCACCCCACUGUGACCCCCAGGCUCUGGACUAAGGUGGUAGGAAACAGACCAAACACAGGAUGCAACAGCACCAAGGAGCUUAAGGAGUCAGUUUAUUACUCAGGUGGGCUUCUGAUCAGGGUCUGUCUUGAAGAACCAGAGCCCUGCCCAGCACGGCCUCAGGGCUUUUAAAGGGAAAAUAAUUGCGGGGGGAAGGUAGGGCCCAAAGAAAAAUUCAGUGCAUGCGGCUGAAGAAUUGCGUAACAGAGGGAGAACUGUUCUUUUAUGUUGUAAGUUAUAUCACAUAGCUGUUAGCGCCAGUUAUACAAAAGCAGUGAAGAGGGGUUUAUCAAAGGACCAUUUGAAGUUCCAUUACAGUGAGACAGGGUAACACAGGAAGGGAAUUUUGUAUUUGCAGUUACCACUGGACACAUCUUGCAGACUCAACUAAGCAUUAAUAAAUUAGUGAGUUUUGUUGUAUUUUGCAAUAAGAAUUUAAAAAUAAAAUUUUAUAGUAUUUG